AAAUAGUUAUGUUUUAUCCAGAAUUUUAAUCGUUGCAGCCUGUAUAGUUCUAACACAACACAAAAAUCUAACGUGAAUAACAAUGACAAGUAACCAAUGACAAAGUUAAGAGGCGUGACUUGCUGGAGGCCCCCCAGCUGCGAUGUAAAGACAGUAUUUAACCCCGCAGCAUCCACAGAAGUCAGCUGUUGUUUCAAGCGCGGAGUAUAUCGUUUCAGUUGUUGAGCGGAAUUAAACACCAGCCGUGUUUGGUAAACUUCAAAUCUUGGAGAAUUUUGAAGAAAAUUGGAACAGAGGAGCUGUGGGCAGGCUACUCCUUGAAGGGCAGGAUGCAGAAUGCUGUCGCACGUAAGUAAAUGCGCAUAUGUACAUAGGAAUAAUUUAAUAAUUAGAAAUAUUUUUUUGUGGAUAGUUUUUGGGAAAUAUCAACGAAACACUGCCUAAGGUAUAGAGGCGUUCCUAGAGUAAGGGAACCUCAACCUAGAGAUGUGUAGCCUCAACCUUUAAAAUAGUUGCCUAGUCUAGGAGUUUUCAACUUUUUCUUGUCCAGGGACCCCCACCCAAACCAAGAUUCAAUUCACUCCAUAUAACUUUCAAGGCUGUAUAAUCUUUCUUUUUUUACAUACAUACAUACAUCUUCUUCCGCUUCAUCCGGGGCCGGGUCGCGGGGGCAGCAGUCUAAGCAGAGAUGCCCAGACUUCCCUCUCCCCAGACACUUACUCCAGCUCUUCCGGGGGGACACCGAGGCGUUCCCAGGCCAGCCGGGAGACAUAGUCCCUCCAGCGUGUCCUAGGUCUUCCCCGGGGUCUCCUCCCGGUGGGACUGGCCCGGAACACCUUCCCAGGAAGGCGUUCCGGAGGCAUCCGAAACAGAUGCCCAAGCCACCUCAGCUGACCCCUCUCGAUGUGGAGGAGCAGCGGCUCUACUCUGAGCUCCUCCCGGGUGACCGAGCUUCUCACCCUAUCUCUAAGGGAACGCCCAGCCACCCUGCGGAGAAAGCUCAUUUCGGCCACCUGUAUCCAGGAUCUUGUCCUUUCGGUCAUGACCCAAAGCUCAUGACCAUAGGUGAGAGUAGGAACGUAGAUUGACUGGUAAAUCGAGAGCUUCGCCUUGCGGCUCAGCUCUUUCUUCACCACGAC
ensembl:lncRNA